CAACAACCAGCGCUUUGAAAAACCUCAAGCUUCCUGUGCUCUUGGACACUUUGUAUUUUACAGUAACACAGACCCACUGAAAACAUGACCUGUUGUAUCCAUGAACAAGGCUUCUACCCUCAAAAAAACCUCCAGUCAACAGCCUGCAGAGGUGGGAAAACACAGGACUUGGAAGAUGUUCCUGUCAUGGGCUUACCAGUUUGCUCUGAAUAGAAAUGGAAGAAAAUAACAACUCUCCCAAACCUCACCGCAGCCAUUUGCUUGUGAACCUGCCAGGAGAAAGAGCUGAGCGCAACUCUGGCAUGAGAGAGAGAGACUGCCCACAGAAGACCAGUACACUUGAUCCUCUUGACUUUACUGAGAUGCAACUAAUGAGCAACAGAUGGGCUUCACCCAAGGAGGGUAUUUGCAGAAGGAGAUCAAGCAUCCACACCACUUCCAAGCUCCACGGCACAAAAAGCACUGACACAGCUUGUACUGACACAACCUCUGUUCCAGCAUAGCCUGCACGCUCAUCUUCUCAAUUUGUCUGACCGGAUGGUUCUUAUUGGCAAAAGAAAACCUACUCAGUUGUUGCAAAAGAUCAAGAUACAUCAGGCAUCUGUCACCAGGAAAAAGCAGGGCCGCAUUUCCAAAGGCAACGGGAAGGUCAUUCAUGGGGCAGCAGUGAAAACAGCUCCAGGCUGCUUCGCAUCCACCUUAAAUACAGUCACCUAUUUGCGCUGCAAGUCUGACAUCAGUGAGAAGCCCUGGGACGAAGAGCGGCUCCCCAGAAGCAAAGAUGAUCACUGACAAUGCAGAAUACAUUAAGUUAGAGCUUCAAAGGUUUGUUUGCCACAUUGAAGCAUCUCCAAGUUUAACAGCAGAAGCUGCCAACCGAUGCUGUAGUCUGGGGGACCCAAAUCCCUCAUCAAAUGUCAAGUUUGGUACCUGCUUAUAUUCAGGGAGUAUUUCCACCAUCUGACUACCUCUGCUUUUCUUUAAUAAAUACAGCGUAACAGAUA